UACAGGGAGGGCAAGCGUUAUUCGGAAUUAAUGGGCGUAAAGGGUGCGUAGGCGGUAAUUUAGAUUAAAUAUGAAAUCCCAAAGCUUAACUUUGGAACUGUAUUUAAGAUCUAUUUACUAGAGUAGGAUAGGGGAUAGCAGAAUUCCUAAAGUAAAGGUAAAAUUUGUCGAUCUUAGGAGGAAUACCAUAAGCGAAGGCGGCUAUCUGGAUCCGAACUGACGCUGAGGCACGAAAGCAUGGGUAGCAAACAGG
rnacentral:rRNA from 1 species